UCCGUGCUUCCAGAUCGUUUUCAAUGUUGCGACUUUCGAAUCGUCGAUCGGUUCCGUUAAACUUGAUCUAGAGUAUUUGAAGUACUUAGAAAAUAAAUUUUAUGAUUUUUCGAUAUCAUUUGCCUAGCGAUCGAAGGGACUCAACAUCAAUCAUUUUAAUGGCCGUAGUGAGCCGUUUGCAAGUUUAACGGUAUAGAAAUAUCCAAAUCACGUGAAAUUUUGAUAGAAAAUUUUUUAUAUUAUAUAAAACAAGAUCAAUAUCUUUGAUCUAAAAUUUUAAUGUUAUAUUAUCACGUUUUGUAAGAUUUUUAUUUUCAGCCGUUGAUUUUGAACCCCUUAGUUUAUUAGGCAAAUGAUAUCGAAAAAUUGCAAAAUUUAUUUUUUAGGUACUUCAAAUACUCUAGAUCAAGUUUAACGGAGCCGAUCGACGAUUCGAAAGUCGCAAC
rnacentral:lncRNA from 1 species